GGUGUUGUCUGUGCUUGCAUUCCCAACGUUGACAUGAGGAAUUAUCAAUGGGUUCCGGACAUAAUCAGCCACACGGCAGAGUGAAUUCCAGGAGUGUAAAUAACAAGAGCUGCCUAUAAAUCUACCUCAGAAGACAAAGGGAAAAGCAAAACUCUGCCCAGGAAGACCUUACUUUACAAACCAGCUCAACCAUAUUUACCAGCCUUCCUGUGGUCAUUUGUCUGAGCUCCAGCUAGUGAAGUAUGAGUAGAACGGACAUGCACCACUUCCAGACCUGGCACCGGCAAACCCCCCAUGGCAACCCUCCAACCCUUUCCUCAACAACUGGACCACGCUGGAAAGGACUGAGGAUCUAGAGGAGGACAGGGCUGUAAUAUGGAAGGAGUUUGGUUUCUGAAGGACCAUGUAGCAGGCCACCUGCAGGGCGGGAACAUCUUUAAUAGGUUUGGAAUAGCAAGAAAUAAACUGGUCUUGUAUUAAACAACUAA
rnacentral:lncRNA from 1 species